rnacentral:rRNA from 1 species
UACGUAGGGCGCGAGCGUUGUCCGGAAUUAUUGGGCGUAAAGAGCUCGUAGGCGGUUUGUCGCGUCGGUUGUGAAAACCCAAGGCUCAACCUUGGGCCUGCAAUCGAUACGGGCAGACUAGAGUACUGCAGGGGAGACUGGAAUUCCUGGUGUAGCGGUGGAAUGCGCAGAUAUCAGGAGGAACACCGGUGGCGAAGGCGGGACUCUGGGCCGAUACUGACGCUGAGGAGCGAAAGCGUGGGGAGCAAACAGG